rnacentral:rRNA from 1 species
GACGAACGCAGGCGGCGUGCUUAACACAUGCAAGUCGAACGGAAAGGCCUGCUUUCCCUUGUGGAUUGCGGGUACUCGAGUGGCGAACGGGUGAGUAACACGUGAGUGAUCUGCCCCCAACUUGGGUAUAAGCCUGGGAAACUGGGUCUAAUUCCCGAUAGGACUGCAGGGUGGUGCCUGUGGUGGAAAACGAUUUUCUAGUGGUUGGGGAUGAGCUCGCGGCCUAUCAGCUUGUUGGUGGGGUAAUGGCCUACCAAGGCGGCGACGGGUAGCCGGCCUGGGAGGGUGGACGGCCACAUUGGGACUGGGAUACGGCCCAGACUCCUACGGGAGGCAGCAGUGGGGAAUAUUGCACAAUGGGCGGAAGCCUGAUGCAGCGACGCCGCGUUGGGGAUGACGGCCUUCGGGUUGUAAACUCCUUGCGACCGCGAGGAAGCCACCUGGUUGGAAGGGUGGUGACGGUAGUGGUAGAAGAAGCACCGGCUAACUACGUG